AUUGAACGCUGGCGGCAGGCCUAACACAUGCAAGUCGGGCGGAUGAAGGGAGCUUGCUCCUGGAUUCAGCGGCGGACGGGUGAGUAAUGCCUAGGAAUCUGCCUGGUAGUGGGGGAUAACGUCCGGAAACGGGCGCUAAUACCGCAUACGUCCUGAGGGAGAAAGUGGGGGAUCUUCGGACCUCACGCUAUCAGAUGAGCCUAGGUCGGAUUAGCUAGUUGGUGGGGUAAGGCCUACCAAGGCGACGAUCCGUAACUGGUCUGAGAGGAUGAUCAGUCACACUGGAACUGAGACACGGUCCAGACUCCUACGGGAGGCAGCAGUGGGGAAUAUUGGACAAUGGGCGAAAGCCUGAUCCAGCCAUGCCGCGUGUGUGAAGAAGGUCUUCGGAUUGUAAAGCACUUUAAGUUGGGAGGAAGGGCAGUAAGUUAAUACCUUGCUGUUUUGACGUUACCAACAGAAUAAGCACCGGCUAACUUCGUG
rnacentral:rRNA from 1 species